rnacentral:rRNA from 1 species
CCUACGGGAGGCAGCAGUGAGGAAUAUUGGUCAAUGGACGAGCGUCUGAACCAGCCAAGUAGCGUGAAGGAUGACUGCCCUAUGGGUUGUAAACUUCUUUUAUAUGGGAAUAAAAUGUUCCACGUGUGGGAUUUUGUAUGUACCAUAUGAAUAAGGAUCGGCUAACUCCGUGCCAGCAGCCGCGGUAAUACGGAGGAUCCGAGCGUUAUCCGGAUUUAUUGGGUUUAAAGGGAGCGUAGGUGGAUUGUUAAGUCAGUUGUGAAAGUUUGCGGCUCAACCGUAAAAUUGCAGUUGAAACUGGCAGUCUUGAGUACAGUAGAGGUGGGCGGAAUUCGUGGUGUAGCGGUGAAAUGCUUAGAUAUCACGAAGAACUCCGAUUGCGAAGGCAGUUCACUGGACUGCAACUGACACUGAGGCUCGAAAGUGUGGGUAUCAAACAGGAUUAGAUACCCCAGUAGUC